GACGAACGCUGGCGGCGUGCCUAAUACGUGCAAGUCGAGCGGAAGUUGGAGAGCUUGCUCAUCAACUUUAGCGGCGGACGGGUGAGUAACACGUGGGCAACCUGCCCUGCAGAUCGGGAUAACUCCGGGAAACCGGUGCUAAUACCGAAUAGUUUUCGCCACCUCCUGGUGGCGUACGGAAAGACGGUUUCGGCUGUCACUGCAGGAUGGGCCCGCGGCGCAUUAGCUAGUUGGUGGGGUAACGGCCCACCAAGGCGACGAUGCGUAGCCGACCGGAGAGGGUCACCGGCCAACCUGGGACUGAGACACGGCCCAGACUCCUACGGGAGGCAGCAGUAGGGAAUCUUCCGCAAUGGACGAAAGUCUGACGGAGCAACGCCGCGUGAGUGACGAAGGUUUUCGGAUCGUAAAACUCUGUUGUGAGGGAAGAACAAGUACCAACUAACUACUGGUACCUUGACGGUACCUCACCAGAAAGCCACGGCUAACUACGUGCCAGCAGCCGCCGUAACAC
rnacentral:rRNA from 1 species